GGGGAUGUGGCUCAGUGGUAGAGUGUUUGCCUGGCAUGCAUGAAGGCUUGGGUCUGAUCCUCAGCACCCCCC
rnacentral:tRNA from 1 species